AAAGCCCGCACAGGUUACCCUUAUCUCGUCCCAACGGCAUGGGCGCGCCACACUUGUGGGGUAACUGGCCGACAUCUUACUUUUUGUGCGAAGUCCAUGCAAACUGAGGCUAUGAUUAGAUGGUAGCGGUAGCCUUACUGAGCGCGGAGUUACGCCAGCUGAAGUUUGCAAAGAUACGUCAUCGCAGCUGGGAAUUGGAAAGUUGGCUGAAAUGCACUCGCAUUGCGCUUCCCGUUGACUUUCCACUGCCAAAAAUGGCGGUGGCCACGAUGGGUAUUGUCAGGUGCCAUGAGAGCCGUAAGCAAUCAGCACACGUAAGGACGACUUUCGUGUUAUGUCCCUCAGCAGAGCAUCAAAGGUUGCCGUGACUACGUGAAACCUGAGGAAAUCCUCCCUGAGCAUGCCUACCCUCUCUACGCGCUUGAAUCCCUUUCAAUGCCGG
rnacentral:lncRNA from 1 species